rnacentral:lncRNA from 10 species
GCUUCCGCCCUGCGCGCUAACCCAAGACGGGAGCUCGAGAGCUUGAUCCUGCGCGAGUUUACAGACUGCCCUCUUCCCUUUUUGCAUCGAAGACCACGACUCCCAAGAGGUAAUGCGUCGGCCCGGGACUACAUCUCCCGGCAUGCAUCGCCGGCGGGUCCGCGAGUUCUCACCAUCGCAGCUGGACUAUUAGCGGGGGCCCUAGCGCUCUUGUGGUUUGUUUCGGCAGUAUCUGAAUGUCAGCUUUUGGCACUUCUGGUCGCUCUGAGCCUCCUACUCGCAUUCCUGGAGCAAGGAAAAGUGUAAUGUUGGUUCGAGCUCAAGAAGGAAUCUGGAUUCCGGUAACUUUGCCCAGACCUUGGGAAUCCUCCCCUUCAAUACAUUUAAUUAAUGAAGUGUUACAGUGAAUUCUAAAAA